UCUCUCAUGAAGAGUGGGGAUGGCUAGAUUCUGUUCAGAGGGAUUUAUACAAGGAUGUGAUGGUCCAGAAUUAUGAGAACCUGGUCUCUCUAGGUCUUUCGAUACCUAAGCCAUAUGUGAUCACUUUAUUGGAGGAUGGGAAAGAGCCUUGGAUGGUGGA